rnacentral:rRNA from 1 species
ACCGCAUGGUAAAAACUCCGGUGGUAUAGGAUGGGCCCGCGUCUGAUUAGCUAGUUGGAGGUGUAACGGACCACCGAGGCGACGAUCAGUAGCCGGCUUGAGAGAGUGAACGGCCACAUUGGGACUGAGACACGGCCCAAACUCCUACGGGAGGCAGCAGUGGGGAAUAUUGCACAAUGGGGGAAACCCUGAUGCAGCAACGCCGCGUGAGUGAAGAAGUAUUUCGGUAUGUAAAGCUCUAUCAGCAGGGAAGAAAAUGACGGUACCUGACUAAGAAGCCCCGGCUAACUACGUGCCAGCAGCCGCGGUAAUACGUAGGGGGCAAGCGUUAUCCGGAUUUACUGGGUGUAAAGGGAGCGCAGGCGGUCUGGCAAGUCUGAUGUGAAAUCCCGGGGCUCAACCCUGGAACUGCAUUGGAAACUGUCAGACUAGAGUGCCGGAGAGGUAAGUGGAAUUCCUAGUGUAGCGGUGAAAUGCGUAGAUAUUAGGAGGA